rnacentral:misc_RNA from 1 species
GGAUAGUUGAGAAACAAGAUUCAGAGAGUGGUGGUAUCAAAUAUGUGAUGAUUGAGUUAGAAUUUAAGUCAGCAUAUGGCUAUCUUUCAGGGGAAAGAGGAAUCCAUUGCAUGAAUGGAAGUUCUGAAGGUAAAUUUGAUCUUUCAAAGGAUGGAGCUGCUGCAAUCGAUGUUAUUCCUCUUUUUCUUGAAUCAUCCCCUGACCUCCAAAUUGAUGAAAACGAUCUAGAAAUUACAACAUCGUAUGAAGAGGAACGGGGUAGGACUUCCCCUUCACUCAUUAUUCAUCAUAUACCAACAGGAUUGCAAGUCCAGUCAACAGGUGAAAGAAGUCGUUUUGCCAAUAAGCUCAAGGCUCU